GACGAACGCUGGCGGCGUGCCUAAUACAUGCAAGUCGAACGAAGCUGUUUUAACUGGUGCUUGCACCGACUUAAACAACUGAGUGGCGAACGGGUGAGUAACACGUGGGUAACCUGCCCCAAAGCGGGGGAUAACAUUUGGAAACAGAUUCUAAUACCGCAUAACCACAGAAACCACAUGGUUUCUGCGUCAAAGUUAGUUUCGGCUAUCACUUUGGGAUCUACCCGCGGCGUAUUAGCUAGUUGGUAAGGUAAUGGCUUACCAAGGCAAUGAUACGUAGGCGAACUGAGAGGUUGAUCGGCCACAUUGGGACUGAGACACGGCACAAACUCCUACGGGAGGCAGCAGUAGGGAAUCUUCCACAAUGGACGAAAGUCUGAUGGAGCAACGCCGCGUGAGUGAAGAAGGUUUUCGGAUCGUAAAACUCUGUUGUCAGAGAAGAACGUGUGCGAGAGUAACUGCUCGUGCAGUGACGGUAUCUGGCCAGAAAGCCACGGCUAACUACGUGCCAGCCGCCGCGGUAA
rnacentral:rRNA from 1 species